UACGUAGGGGGCAAGCGUUGUCCGGAAUCAUUGGGCGUAAAGAGCGUGUAGGCGGCCCGAUAAGUCCGCUGUGAAAGUCCAGGGCUCAACCCUGGGAUGCCGGUGGAUACUGUCGGGCUCGAGUCCGGAAGAGGAGUGUGGAAUUCCUGGUGUAGCGGUGAAAUGCGCAGAUAUCAGGAAGAACACCCGUGGCGAAGGCGGUUCUCUGGGACGGUACUGACGCUGAGACGCGAAAGCGUGGGGAGCAAACGGG
rnacentral:rRNA from 1 species